AGUUGACCUAACAGUAAACCUUCGGCUCCAAACUCCGGGCCCAGAAAGGCGGGGAGGCCGCCCGGAGCCCGGCCCCCAGAGCCGCGGGGCGCACGGGCUCAAGUCACAGCGUUUGAUCCGCACGCUCAGGACUGGGGAUUAAACCGCAGGUUCCGUUAUGGGUCGACUUGAUGGGAAGGUCAUCGUCCUGACAGCUGCUGCUCAGGGGAUCGGCUGGGCCACUGCCAUAGCUUUUGCAAGAGAAGGUGCCAAAGUCAUAGCCACAGAUAUCAAUGAGUCCAAACUUCAAGAACUGGAAAAGUACCCGGGUAUUCAGACUCGAGUCCUGGAUGU